rnacentral:rRNA from 1 species
GACGAACGCUGGCGGCGCGCUUAACACAUGCAAGUCGAACGGAAAGGCCUGCUUUCCCUUGUGGAUUGCGGGUACUCGAGUGGCGAACGGGGGAGUACCACGUGAGUUAUCUGCCCCCAACUUGGGUAUAAGCCUGGGAAACUGGGUCUAAUUCCCGAUAGUACUGCAGGGUGGUGCCUGUGUUGGAACACGAUUUUCUAGUGGUUGGGGAUGAGCUCGCGGCCUAUCAGCUUGUUGGUGGGGUAAUGGCCUACCAAGGCGGCGACGGGUAGCCGGCCUGAGAGGGUGGACGGCGACAUUGGGACUGAGACACGGCCCAGACUCCUAGGGGAGGCAGCAGGGGGGAAUAUUGCAGAAUGGGCGGAAGCCUGAUGCAGCGACGCCGCGUGGGGGAUGACGGCCUUCGGGUUGUAUACUCCUUUCGACCGAGAGGAAGCCACCUGGUUGGAAGGGUGGUGACGGUAGUGGUAGAAGAAGCACCGGCUAACUACGUG